AGAGUUUGAUCCUGGCUCAGGAUGAACGCUGGCGGCGUGCCUAACACAUGCAAGUCGAACGCGAAAGCCCCGCAAGGGGCAAGUAGAGUGGCAAACGGGUGAGUAACACGUGGGUGACCUGCCUUCGAGUGGGGGAUAACGUCCCGAAAGGGACGCUAAUACCGCAUGACAUCCUGCCUUUGAAGAGGCGGAGAUCAAAGCUGGGGAUCGCAAGACCUAGCGCUUGGAGAGGGGCCCGCGUCCGAUUAGCUAGUUGGUGAGGUAACGGCUCACCAAGCCGACGACGGGUAGGGGGCGUGAGAGCGUGGCCCCCCACACGGGGACUGAGACACGGCCCCGACUCCUACGGGAGGCAGCAGUGAGGGAUAUUGGUCAAUGGGCGCAAGCCUGAACCAGCGACGCCGCGUGGAGGACGAAGGGCUUCGGCUCGUAAACUCCUUUUCCCGCUGACGAGGAAGGACGGUAGGCGGGGAAUAAGUCUCGGCUAACUACGUGCCAGCAGCCGCGGUAAAACGUAGGAGGCGAGCGUUAUCCGGAAUUACUGGGCGUAAAGGGCGUCUAGGCGGGUCGUUAAGCGUGGUGUGAAAGCUCCUGGCUCAACUGGGAGAGUGCGCCGCGAACUGACGGCCUAGAGGGCAGGCGACGGGGGUGGAAUUCCCGGUGGAGUGGUGAAAUGCGUAGAGAUCGGGAGGAACACCAGUGGCGAAAGCGGCCUCCGAGCCUGUUUCUAACGCUGAAGCGCGACAGCGUGGGGAGCAAACGGGAUUAGAUACCCCUGUAGUCC
rnacentral:rRNA from 1 species